GCUGUGGUGCAGUGGAAGAAUCUCUGUUUUGCAUACAGAGGGUCCAAGGUUCAAUCCCAGGCAUCUCCU